UGUGGCUCGUUGCGGUCCCACCUCGCUGUUUCAGCAGCGUUGGGGUUGGUGCUCACACUGCCCGCCGUAUUGCGCGCGUGCCAGGGUCUCUCUGCUCUGAUGACGUGCAGAUAUGUGGCAGGAAAGUGGGCAAGUGUAGAGGGUUGCAGGGUUGCACAUUUGCAAAACCUGGAAGUCUUGGGUGUCAGAUCCCUCAGGUAUGUUGGAAGAGAAGAAAGCCUGAGAAUGAUUCCUUUAUUUUUAACCCCUCCCUCCCCCCUCCCACCUCCAACAAGAAGCGCUGUUGUUUCUGUGUUGUGAUCUUUCAAAAAUCACAAAGGUACAGUUCCUGGCUUUCAUUUGCUUACAGUCAAGUGAAGUAGACACAGUUCACCUAAGUAUUAUCGAAGAGAUGUAAUUAGCACUUAACUCAGCUCAGGGGUGUUGGGAGGUGGGGGGAGUUAGGCAGCCUUCCAAGAAAUGACUUUUGAGCUCUACAGACGCUAGGUGGACAGGGGUGCGCAGGUGCCAUUCCAACGGCUAGCUCCCAGUGAAUGUAUUAUCUUGUCUCCAAUCCAGUCUAUUUUAAUUAAUUUAUUAAUUUAUUUUUAAUUGUUUAAAAGGUUGCUCAUUUUAAAAUUUCUUUUAAGGAUUUAUUUAUUUAUGCAUACAAGAAUGGGGGUAAAGGCCAGAGGGUGGGGUGGUGAGAGGAUUCACCAGAGACAGAGUGGGGAACAGAACAGGCAGAUUGACUGAAAUACACUGCUGAGGGGAGCAGCGGGCAAGUCAGGAGAGGUCUGCUGCACCAUGUGGGAAGCUCCCUGGCCGGGGAUCAAACUCAUCUGCAGCGCCUGCUGACAGCUUCCUAGGUUGCGUCUUAACCCCUUGCGCCACCAGGGAGGCCCCUAUUUGAAUUUAAGGGCCUCUUGAGCUUCUUUCAAAGACAAGAGACACACUGAGGUGUAGAAAUGAGCCUGUGGUGAGUCCGCAGGUUGCUAGAGUCUAAGUUUUGUCACAGAAACAUUGUCAUUGGCCAUAUCUGAGCAACUGGGUUGUUUGAAUCAACUGCAAGUGCAUAAUUCAAAGAAAUGACUGUCAUUUCACCAGGAUUUGGGUAAGUUGGAAAUGGAGCAGCUCAAUUCUGUGAAAGUUUGGAAAAUGAACAAGGAGUCAGUGAGUUGGACUUAAUUUUUUCUGGGGUUGGGGAGGAAACAGCAGUGAAUAGGCAGGACAUGAGUUUCCUGGCCAAGACCAGGGCCUGUUGAGGAGCAGCUCUGUAAGGGUCACGGUCUGGGUGCUGUGCCUGGGUCAUCUUGCUCUCCUUCCAGGAGAUGGCCUCACUGACCAGCUAGUAUCCCUCCAGAUCACAAAGCUCUUUUCUCAUAUUACCUUCAUUAGCGAAUGGUUGCAGUGAAGCAAGCGGAUGUAACCGUUCAAAUCUCGUAAAACUUGAAGUUAUAUAAGGACUAGAUGUCACUCCCUGCUGACGUGAUGGGCUGGACUUGGUCAUGUUCUCUGGAGACUAAGAACGGAGUCCUUGAAGUCAAGCCGACUCUGCCUGGAGCCUCCUAAAUGAAAAGGUAGAGAGAACAGGUCUUGGCUGCAAGGGAAACCCAAGACCUGCUUAUCUACCGACAGCACCUCUGUGCUUCCCAUUGCCUUCAGGUAGAAGCAGGACUGUCCAGGUGAGCGGUGAGAAAGGGCAGAGGAGGGCCUCUUCUGCUCCUGAGCGUUAGGCAGGGGACUUGCUUACGCAGGAAGUUGUUUAGGAAAGCGGAGGAGGGCCUGUGCUGCAGUGCAGUCUUCAGGGCCUCGCGGAGUUUUCUGGCAGCUUAACUCAGACAGGUACCAUGUCCCCAGCCCCCCUUCUCUGUAGCCAGUACACACACCGAGGUGUUUUGAGACACCACACAACUUCUGUUGCAGUGUACUGUUAGAUUUGUCUUACUUUAUUAUUGCUAAUCCCUUACUGUGCCUAAUUUGUUAGUUAAACUAUCAUCUGUAUGCAGAGGAAAAAGACAGUAUGUGCAAGGCUCCGCACUGGGCAUGGUUUCCGGCUUCCCUGGGUGUCGGGAACGUGUCGUGCAGGCUGUCGUCUCAUACAGACUCCACAUGGUGGGGCCUUGUGCUGGGGCUUCUGCCAGAGACUGAGUGUCACCAGUUUUGCAGAAUGAGAAGUGUUACUAAGGCUUCGGCCAGGCGCUAGCUCUGCUUCACCCUGAUGGCCAAGCACACGCUUCAGGUUCUGACAUGGCGCAGGUGACAGUGUAUUGUUAGGGCCAACAGGAAGUCAGUUAAACACACUUUUCCAAGUACUCCAACUAAUUUUAUCAGAAAUCACUGUCAUUUUAUAUCCUGUGUCUCUAACCAACUCUCUAACCCAUAGAGUGUCUUAAAUUCUGUUUACUAAGCCCAUGUUCUCAUCAUGGUGAAGCCAAAGCUUGUGUCUGGUGAAGCCAAAGCUUGUGUUGUCACUUGCUCUAGAGUUAGAAGGUGAUACAGGUAAAGCUAAGAAAAGAACAGACUUUGAAAGCUUUGUUUUAACAGCCCCACAUCAGGGGUUAUGACUACAAUGGUCUGACUUCUUAAUCUUUUUUCUGCUUUGUUUUUUUGACAGAUUUAUCGGCAGGUUGCAGGGGGACAUGGCCUUGAGAUUUAUUUUUUCCUGAAGAUGAGAAAUGUAUUCAAACAAAGGUUCUUUAUGCUGAGAAACCGGAUACUUGAGUCUAGGAGAACGCCGAGCUUCCUGGGGGCCACCGUUACUCUUAUGUCUGGGCUCAUCUUGUCGUGUAGGAAUUCAUACUUGUGCCUAAGAGUCAACGGUGACACAACAGCUUCAGGAACUGCCGCUGUUUACAGGAUGUUUCCUACUCGACCGCGUUAUUCAGUCACUGCCGAAGUGACCGGCCACGUCUAACAUGAUAAACCUCUUUUCUAAACCUUGUCUAAGAAAUGCAUUUUGCACUUCGUCAGCGUCGGCGCUUGGGGGCUAGAUGUGUAAAUCCUUUGUCGCAAGGAGCUCUGAAGCGGAACCUCAGCCUUGCAAUAAAAUGAGCCCGUUUGUUACGCUCAGGGCCCGGUUCUUACACUUGCCCGCACGGCCGU